rnacentral:rRNA from 1 species
GCGACCUCGCGAGAGCAAGCGGACCUCAUAAAGUGCGUCGUAGUCCGGAUUGGAGUCUGCAACUCGACUCCAUGAAGUCGGAAUCGCUAGUAAUCGUGGAUCAGAAUGCCACGGUGAAUACGUUCCCGGGCCUUGUACACACCGCCCGUCACACCAUGGGAGUGGGUUGCAAAAGAAGUAGGUAGCUUAACCUUCGGGAGGGCGCUUACCACUUUGUGAUUCAUGACUGGGGUGAAGUCGUAACAAGGUAACCGUAGGGGAACCUGCGGUUGGAUCAC